GGUGAAGGUGUUGGGGUCACGGUCAAGGUGUUGGGCAUGGUCAAGGUGUUGGGGGCAUGGUCAAGGUGUUGGGCAUGGUCAAGGUGUUGGGGGCAUGGUCAAGGUGUUGGGGGCAUGGUCAAGGUGUGUUGGGCAUGGUCAAGGUGUUGGGGUCACAGUCAAGGUGUUGGGGCAUGGUCAAGGUGUGUUGGGCAUGGUCAAGGUGUUGGGGUCACAGUCAAGGUGUUGGGGCAUGGUCAAGGUGUGGGG